CAGGAAGUCCCAACUUUUCACCUGUAUGCCGGGACAAGAGGAUUGAAACAGAGAUUGCGUUUAGGAAUCAAACUCAAGAUUAUUAGAUGAAGCCUCUGAGCAAGGACAUCUGCCAGCAUAACACAAUGCCUCAAGGAAGAAAAUGACCAUGUGACACUCUGGACACCCAUCUCACCCUUUGGCAUCCACUCCACACAAGUCAGGCCCGAGUUCUUUCAACCUGACUGU